rnacentral:tRNA from 1 species
UGGCUCAGUGGUAAAGUGCUUGCUUAGAAUGCAUGAGGCCCUGGGUUCAAUACCCAG